rnacentral:rRNA from 1 species
UACGGAGGGGGCUAGCGUUGUCCGGAAUUAUUGGGCGUAAAGCGCGCGCAGGCGGUUCUUUAAGUCUGAUGUGAAAGCCCACGGCUCAACCGUGGAGGGUCAUUGGAAACUGGAGAACUUGAGUACAGAAGAGGAAAGCGGAAUUCCACGUGUAGCGGUGAAAUGCGUAGAGAUGUGGAGGAACACCAGUGGCGAAGGCGGCUUUCUGGUCUGUAACUGACGCUGAGGCGCGAAAGCGUGGGGAGCAAACAGG